AGGAAUAUCCAGAGUCGUAGCCCUCCCCGCCACGAUGGUCUGCUGCUCUCCUGACUCAAAACCUACAAACUCCAUGGCGAAUACCAGCGAUCCCACUAAGGAGAGUCCUCAGUGGAGUGCAGUGUCACGUGUUUCCCUCCAGAAUGCAAUUGACAAGCCAAUUUACAUGGAUUGGGAAGUGACACGGAUCGGGAAGUGACAUGGGACAACACGCUAGCAUGCGCAUUUGGUUUGUCCAUCAUGGAAGAGCUGACAGAAGAAUAGACAAAAUGCAACUCCUUCAUUUCCAAAUGUCCCCAGAUCUGGCAAUGGGAACAGGGACAAGUUUCAUCACUGCAGCUCGACUGUUAGCUUCUGGGAGGAGACUGUGUGUUAUGAACAAUAUUAAGAUCACAAGCCCCUUUGAUGAGGACUAGAAAAGGAUUCAAAAACAUUGCCAGUUGGAUGGAUGUGAAUCACAUGACAGAGACCAAUAGAAACCAAGGACGCAAACCCUAGCUGAUGAAGUUGCAUUUACCUGGUCCCUGGGAAACCUGCAGACACACUGCUCAGCUGCUUGUCAGAGGGGUACACUCAGCCUCAAGCGUGGGAAGAGAGGCUCCAAGGAAAUGGGGGUGAAGUGGAUGGCCUUGUCAGCGAACCCAACACUUUGCUACCACGAAAUAGACUGCGUAGUUGAAACCAAACAGCCCAUGGCACAGGAUGGUGAUAAAGGGCAUCCAGUGAGUAAGAAAGGGGUUCUGUGGCCGUCACACCCAAAGCCCAAGAGUGUGACCGCGCCUGACACCCAUGAGCACGCCCAGCCUCGCUAACUCCUCCCGUCUCGGGCUUGUUCAACACUUAGCCUUAUGCUCAUCUUUUGGCUCUUACCAUCAUUAUUGUUGCAAAUAUCAAGCAUAUGUUAAGGACCAUCCAUGUCUAGGGAUAAGAGCUCUCAGGUCAGAGCUAGAGAUGUGGCCAGGGCUGUCUCCCGCUUUCAGCAGGGCCAUGGUUAGCACACUUUCAUGCCUCUAUGCACUUGCAUUUGCUGUAACUUUCACCUAAAAUGCUCCUCCCUUAUUCUCCACUUUGUAAACUCCUACUCAUCCACUAGAA